UUUGAGCCCUGAUCGAAGUGAAAAUCCUUGUUGCCCGGGGUUCGGGCAACAAGAUUAUAACGGAGAGCAGGAAUCAUA
rnacentral:sRNA from 1 species